ensembl:snoRNA small nucleolar RNA SNORA16B/SNORA16A family
CACGGCCCUUAUCGAAGUCGCCCUAGUGCUUUGUCCAUUGCUGGGGCGGUCAAAAAGGAGCCCAAAGAAACACUUUUGCCGACGGUCGCUGCUUAGUUGUCCUGUGACUAAGGAGCAACAAUAUGGAGAAGGACAGAU